GGAUCCUAUUUUCGCAAAAAAAUUAAGAUUCCUUUAUAAUAAGUGAAUAUAACCUACGUAACGCAUCACAUUGUGUGCACUACUUCUAUUAAUCGUCUUUUAUUAAUGGGUAAUAGGAAGUUAUUUCGAAUUGUAUAAAUUAAGAUAAUUGGAACUCUACAAUUUUACAAUGUCAUGAGUUUUAUUUAUCUUUAUUUUAAGAUACAAUAUGUCAGAGGUUAUAAGAUCUAACUUGUGAUAUUGAUGCCACAUAUGCUGGCCAUAUUCAGAGUGAGAUGACAGAUAAAGUAAUAGCCACAUCAAGUAUUAAUUAUAAUUAACAUUCCGUGCAGCAGAAUGUAUCAACAGAAUUAACGAUAUUAUAAAAUCGAUCAUAUUAUACAUGUAUAAAAAGACGAGUCGAUAUCUAUUUAGAAAAUGUGAAUAUGAUUAUAGACAAUAGGAAUAUAUGAAAAUUGUAUAAAUAACAGACAACAAUAAACUUGCUCACUAUAUAUGAACAAA